CAGUCGCCGCGGUAAUACGUAGGGCGCAAGCGUUGUCCGGAAUUAUUGGGCGUAAAGAGCUCGUAGGCGGUCUGUCGCGUCUGGUGUGAAAUCCCGAGGCUCAACCUCGGGCUUGCAUCGGGUACGGGCAGACUAAAGUGCGGUAGGGGAGACUGGAAUUCCUGGUGUAGCGGUGGAAUGCGCAGAUAUCAGGAGGAACACCGAUGGCGAAGGCAGGUCUCUGGGCCGCAACUGACGCUGAGGAGCGAAAGCAUGGGGAGCGAACAGGAUUAGAUACCCCUGUAGUCCCUGUCUCUUAUAA
rnacentral:rRNA from 1 species